AUUGAACGCUGGCGGAAUGCUUUACACAUGCAAGUCGAGCGGCAGCGCGGGGGCAACCCUCGGCGGCGAGCGGCGAACGGGUAGAGUAAUACAUCGGAACGUGUCCUUAAGUGGGGAGUAGCUCGGCGAAAGACCGGAUUAAUACCGCAUAAAGCUCUGAGGAAGGAAAGGACGGGGCGUCCGUAAGGACCUCGCGCUGUUGGAGCGGCCGAUGUCGG
rnacentral:rRNA from 1 species